CCCAGCUGCAGGCAUCUGUCUAGGUUGCCUUGUACCUAGGCAAGUGUUACACUGCUGGGAGAAAAGCAGCCAAUCAGUGGUUGGCAUUCUGGGCCUAGUUAAUGCCAACUCUGUGUUAACUAAACCAGUGUGCCAACACA
ensembl:snoRNA SNORA74 Small nucleolar RNA SNORA74